rnacentral:rRNA from 1 species
UACGUAGGGUGCGAGCGUUGUCCGGAAUUAUUGGGCGUAAAGGGCUCGUAGGCGGUCUGUCACGUCGGGAGUGAAAACCCAGGGCUCAACCCUGGGCCUGCUUCCGAUACGGGCAGACUAGAGGUAUGCAGGGGAGAAUGGAAUUCCUGGUGUAGCGGUGAAAUGCGCAGGUAUCAGGAGGAACACCGGUGGCGAAGGCGGUUCUCUGGGCAUUACCUGACGCUGAGGAGCGAAAGUGUGGGGAGCGAACAGG